GAGUUUGAUCAUGGCUCAGAUUGAACGCUGGCGGCAGGCCUAACACAUGCAAGUCGAACGGUAACAGGAAACAGCUUGCUGUUUCGCUGACGAGUGGCGGACGGGUGAGUAAUGUCUGGGAAACUGCCUGAUGGAGGGGGAUAACUACUGGAAACGGUAGCUAAUACCGCAUAACGUCGCAAGACCAAAGAGGGGGACCCUCGGGCCUCUUGCCAUCGGAUGUGCCCAGAUGGGAUUAGCUUGUUGGUGGGGUAACGGCUCACCAAGGCGACGAUCCCUAGCUGGUCUGAGAGGAUGACCAGCCACACUGGAACUGUGACACGGUCCAGACUCCUACGGGAGGCAGCAGUGGGGAAUAUUGCACAAUGGGCGCAAGCCUGAUGCAGCCAUGCCGCGUGUAUGAAGAAGGCCUUCGGGUUGUAAAGUACUUUCAGCGGGGAGGAAGGGAGUAAAGUUAAUACCUUUGCUCAUUGACGUUACCCGCAGAAGAAGCACCGGCUAACUCCGUGCCAGCAGCCGCGGUAAUACGGAGGGUGCAAGCGUUAAUCGGAAUUACUGGGCGUAAAGCGCACGCAGGCGGUUUGUUAAGUCAGAUGUGAAAUCCCCGGGCUCAACCUGGGAACUGCAUCUGAUACUGGCAAGCUUGAGUCUCGUAGAGGGGGGUAGAAUUCCAGGUGUAGCGGUGAAAUGCGUAGAGAUCUGGAGGAAUACCGGGCGAAGGCGGCCCCCCUGGACGAAGACUGACGCUCAGGUGCGAAAGCGUGGGGAGCAAACAGGAUUAGAUACCCUGGUAGUCCACGCCGUAAACGAUGUCGACUUGGAGGUUGUGCCCUUGAGGCGUGGCUUCCGGAGCUAACGCGUUAAGUCGACCGCCUGGGGAGUACGGCCGCAAGGUUAAAACUCAAAUGGAUUGACGGGGGCCCGCACAAGCGGUGGAGCAUGUGGUUUAAUUCGAUGCAACGCGAAGAACCUUACCUGGUCUUGACAUCCACGGAAGUUUUCAGAGAUGAGAAUGUGCCUUCGGGAACCGUGAGACAGGUGCUGCAUGGCUGUCGUCAGCUCGUGUUGUGAAAUGUUGGGUUAAGUCCCGCAACGAGCGCAACCCUUAUCCUUUGUUGCCAGCGGUCCGGCCGGGAACUCAAAGGAGACUGCCAGUGAUAAACUGGAGGAAGGUGGGGAUGACGUCAAGUCAUCAUGGCCCAUACGACCAGGGCUACACACGUGCUACAAUGGCGCAUACAAAGAGAAGCGACCUCGCGAGAGCAAGCGGACCUCAUAAAGUGCGUCGUAGUCCGGAUUGGAGUCUGCAACUCGACUCCAUGAAGUCGGAAUCGCUAGUAAUCGUGGAUCAGAAUGCCACGGUGAAUACGUUCCCGGGCCUUGUACACACCGCCCGUCACACCAUGGGAGUGGGUUGCAAAAGAAGUAGGUAGCUUAACCUUCGGGAGGGCGCUUACCACUUUGUGAUUCAUGACUGGGGUGAAGUCGUAACAAGGUA
rnacentral:rRNA from 1 species